rnacentral:rRNA from 1 species
GAUGAACGCUGGCGGCGUGCCUAAUACAUGCAAGUCGAGCGAACAGACGAGGAGCUUGCUCCUCUGACGUUAGCGGCGGACGGGUGAGUAACACGUGGAUAACCUACCUAUAAGACUGGGAUAACUUCGGGAAACCGGAGCUCAUACCGGAUAAUAUAUUGAACCGCAUGGUUCAAUAGUGAAAGACGGUUUUGCUGUCACUUAUAGAUGGAUCCGCGCCGCAUUAGCUAGUUGGUAAGGUAACGGCUUACCAAGGCAACGAUGCGUAGCCGACCUGAGAGGGUGAUCGGCCACACUGGAACUGAGACACGGUCCAGACUCCUACGGGAGGCAGCAGUAGGGAAUCUUCCGCAAUGGGCGAAGGCCUGACGGAGCAACGCAGCGGGAGUGAUGAAGGUCUUCGGAUCGUAAAACUCUGUUAUUAGGGAAGAACAAAUGUGUAAGUAACUAUGCACGUCUUGACGGUACCUAAUCAGAAAGCCACGGCUAACUACGUG